rnacentral:rRNA from 1 species
AUGUUGGGUUAAGUCCCGCAACGAGCGUAACCCUUGUUUUUAGUUGCCAUCAUUCAGUUGGGCACUUUAAAGAGACUGCCGGUGAUAAACCGGAGGAAGGUGAGGACGACGUCAAGUCAGCAUGCCCCUUACGCCCUGGGCUACACACGUACUACAAUGGUCGAGACAAAGAGCUGCAAGUCUGCAAAGACAAGCUAAUCUCAUAAACUCGGUCUCAGUUCGGAUUGCAGGCUGCAACUCGCCUGCAUGAAGGUGGAAUCGCUAGUAAUCGCCGGUCAGCAAUACGGCGGUGAAUCCGUUCCCGGGCCUUGUACACAC